rnacentral:SRP_RNA from 1 species
GCUGGGCGUGGUGGCUCACACCUGUAAUCCUAGCACUUUGGGAAGCUGAGGCGGGUGGAUCACCUGAGGUCAGGAGUUCUAGAACAGCCUGACAAACAUGGAGAAACCCCGUCUCUA